GCAGCCUGUGAGCUGCAGGUGGGGCUUGUGCGCAGCAAGCCUUUUCAGGGCAAACAAGCUACAGCUGAUGGUGUAGGAAGAAGUUUGUUCUGACACGGAGGCGUCCUUCUGAGAAGUCUUUUUCAUGUUCCGGUAGCAAAACGAUGAAGAAAAUAUCUAGGAACGGUCCUGCGUUUUCAAAAAGGAAUCUUUUGCUUAUGGAGGUGUUUAUCUGCAGUGCUGCCGCUAGAGGCUUCUGAAACAGUCUGGGACUGCUUUUAGGAUAACUAUCCAGACACAGAAAGCUCUGCGUUCGUGGUGAGAGACCAUACAUAUGAGAUUGCCAGGUUUUUGCAGGGUCACCAUGUUGUGAAUUUGGGUCAAGGACCUGAGUGAGUAAGGAGGCCUCGUUUAUCUUCAGCCAAGGUUGAGACAACAGUCGU